UAUAAAUCCCAAAUAUCAAACAUGACGAUUGCCUUGGCCUACAUUUCAUCCGCAACGAGAAUGGUAGCUUGUUCUACACCAGACCCCUGCUUGAAUGGAGGAACACGUAUCGUAGAUGGCUGUGUUUAUCGAUGCGCGUGUCUCGGGAAUCACGUCGGACAAUACUGUCAAUCUUGCAGGAUAGUAUUGACACAUCUUGGACAUACCCUGAUACAUUACGACUAUAUUGCUUUGCUUCAUGGCAAAACUCGAGUAUCGUUCGAAAUGCGAGGUGGUUUAGGUGAAUUAGGAAUACAUCUCCAAGACGGGGGACUCA